AUGCCACAAAAUGAAUAUAUUGAAUUGCACCGCAAACGAUAUGGAUAUCGUUUGGACUACCAUGAGAAAAAGAGAAAGAAAGAAGGUUGGGAGGCCCAUGAACGUUCAAAGAAGGCAAAAAAAAAUGAUUGGCCUGAAGGCUAAGCUCUACCAUAAACAGCGCCAUGCUGAGAAAAUACAAAUGAAAAAGACUAUUAAGAUGCAUGAGAAGAGAAACCCCAAGCAGAAGGAUGAAGAGAAGAUUCCGCAGGGAGCAGUCUCCGCCUAUCUGCUGGACAGAGAGGGCCAGUCGAGAGCAAAAGUACUUCCCAACAGGAUUAAGCAGAAACGGAAAGAAAAGGCGGGAAAAUGGGAGGUCCCUCUACCCAAAGUUCGUGCCCAAGGAGAAACAGAAGUAUUGAAAGUUAUUCGAUCAGGAAAAAGGAAAAAGAAGGCAUGAAAGAGAAUGGAAACUAAAGUCUGCUCUGUUGGCGAUGGCUUUACAAGAAAACCACCUAAAUAUGAAAGGUUCAUUAGGCCUAUGGGUCUACGUUUCAAAAAAGCCCAUGUCACACACCCUGAGCUGAAAGCUACCUUUUGCCUGCCUAUUCUCGGUGUGAAAAAGAAUCCAUCAUCCCCAUUAUAUACAACCCUGGGUGUGAUCACCAAAGGUACAGUUAUUGAAGUGAAUGUGAGCGAGCUGGGCCUUGUGACACAAGGAGGCAAGGUUAUUUGGGGAAAGUACGCCCAAGUUACCAACAAUCCUGAGAACGAUGGGUGCAUAAAUGCGGUCUUGCUGGUCUGA
rnacentral:lncRNA from 1 species